GCAAGUAUGUACGAGUAUAGUACCUAUUCGUAUAAUGAACCAUAAAUAAACACGAGCAAAACGUCGAAGAAUGGAAACUGACCUAGGUAAAAACCAUGCGGAAACGUGCGGUCCGCACAACUACUCGUACGAUGAUGGUCAUUCUGUACAAAACUGGAGGUGGCGCGACAAUGUUGUUUCUUCUUCCGAAAAAUGUCUCACAACCGAGAAAAGUUCUACUUGCAUAAUAAUCGAGUUCAACGAACCGAAUGUAAACGUAGCCUUAGCGAUCAGUGCGCCACUAAAUUGCCGCUCGAGUUUCGCCUUCCUAUCAAAUAUUCAUAACAAAAAAGGCAUUUUUUUUUUUUUCGUAAACGAGUUCGCGUAGUGCGUUCAUCAGGGUCAACGAGUUAAUCUACACUGAAACUCCUUGGCGUGUAAUUUGUUUACUUCCCGUUGCAGAGCAGUGCUUUUGAUUUCAUUGCAGAGCUUUAUCAGUUUCAUGAAAAUACGAGUGCUAGCGUAAACGAUCGUCCAGUGAGAUCUAUCAGUGCUCAGAUCUGCUACCUGGUUGCUUAAUUUCUCAAGUUUUUGUACAUUGAAGUGUAUCUUGUUGUCGAACGAAAGCCCAUCAUCGAUCAUGGAGCCAGAAUGGAGAAUUUUUAUAGCUUAUUUUUGCUCAGUUGCGGGGUAAAUUGGUAGCGCACAUAUGGCUGCGAAUUCAUCAAAUGUGACGUGCCUCAAGUUAUUACGCUUAUUAGCAUGUAGCUCUAUUUAUAGUUUUAAAUUAAGAACCUACUCGAUAAUUAAUCAGCUUUAAACACGAUGUCGUUUAUGAAUAAAGAUCGUAACCUAGUUAAA